AGUGAACGCUGGCGGUAGGCCUAACACAUGCAAGUCGAACGGCAGCACAGUAAGAGCUUGCUCUUACGGGUGGCGAGUGGCGGACGGGUGAGGAAUACAUCGGAAUCUACUUUUUCGUGGGGGAUAACGUAGGGAAACUUACGCUAAUACCGCAUACGACCUACGGGUGAAAGCAGGGGAUCUUCGGACCUUGCGCGAUUGAAUGAGCCGAUGUCGGAUUAGCUAGUUGGCGGGGUAAAGGCCCACCAAGGCGACGAUCCGUAGCUGGUCUGAGAGGAUGAUCAGCCACACUGGAACUAUGACACGCACCAGCCUCCUGCGGGAGACAGCAGUGGGAAUUAUUGGACAAUGGGCUCAAGCCUGAUCCAGCCAUACCGCGUGGGUGAAGAAGGCCUUCGGGUUGUAAAGCCCUUUUGUUGGGAAAGAAAAGCAGCAGGUUAAUACCCCGCUGUUCUGACGGUACCCAAAGAAUAAGCACCGGCUAACUUCGUG
rnacentral:rRNA from 1 species